AACGAACGCUGGCGGCAUGCCUAACACAUGCAAGUCGAACGAGACCUUCGGGCCUAGUGGCGCACGGGGGCGUAAGGCGGGGGAACCUGCCCUUAGGUUCGGAAUAACUCCCCGAAAGGUGUGCUAAUACCGGAUAAUGUCUUCGGACCAAAGAUUUAUCGCCUUUGGAUGGGCCCGCGUUGGAUUAGCUAGUUGGUAGGGUAAAAGCCUACCAAGGCGACGAUCCAUAGCUGGUCUGAGAGGAUGAUCAGCCACACUGGGACUGGGACACGGCCCAGACUCCUACGGGAGGCGGCAGUGGGGAAUAUUGGACAAUGGGCGAAAGCCUGAUCCCGCACUGCCGCGUGAGUGAUGAAGGCCUUAGGGUUGUAAAGCUCUUUUACCCGGGAUGAUAAUGACAGUACCGGGAGAAUAAGCACCGGCUAACUCCGUG
rnacentral:rRNA from 1 species